rnacentral:rRNA from 1 species
GCCGCCGCGGGGCAGCCGAAGAAGAGGACGUUCCGCAAGUUCAGCUACCGCGGCUUCGACCUCGACGCGAUCCUCGACAUGUCCGCCGAGGACCUCAUCCAGGUCCUCCCCGCCCGCACCCGCAGAAGGUUAUGCAGAGGGUUCAAGAGGAAGCAAUUGAUGCUCAUCAGGAGGCUGCGCAAGGCCAAGGCGGAGGCAUCUGCUGGUGAAAAGCCAGGGGUUGUGAAGACUCGUCAGCGCAACAUGAUCAUCGUGCCAGACAUGGUAGGCAGCCAGAUCGCGGUGUACAAUGGGAAAACCUUCAACCAGGUUGAGAUCAAGCCCGAGAUGAUUUGCCACCACCUCGCCGAGUUCUCCAUCAGCUACAAGCCCGUCAAGCACGGGAGGCCCGGCAUCGGCGCCACCCACUUCUCGAGGUUCAUUCCUCUCAAGUGA